AACGAACGCUUGCGGCGCGCCUAAUACAUGCAAGUCGAACGAGGUAGCAAUACCAAGUGGCGCACGGGUGAGUAACACGUGGAUAAUGUGCCAUUCAGUGGGGAAUAACCAACCGAAAGGUUGGCUAAUACCGCAUGAGACCACAGUCCCUGAGGGGACAGAGGUUAAAGAUUUAUCGCUGAAUGAUCAGUCUGCGUAAGAUUAGCUAGUUGGUGAGGUAACGGCUCACCAAGGCAACGAUCUUUAGGUGGUCUGAGAGGAUGACCACCCACACUGGGACUGAGACACGGUCCAGACACCUACGGGUGGCAGCAGUCGAGAAUUUUUCUCAAUGGGGGAAACCCUGAAGGAGCGACGCCGCGUGAGGGAUGAAGGGC
rnacentral:rRNA from 1 species